rnacentral:rRNA from 1 species
GAUAACCGCUGAAAGCAUCUAAGCGGGAAGCUCGCUUCAAGAUUAGGUUUCCCACUGGUUUACCAGGUAAGACCCCCAAGAGACUAUUGGGUUGAUAGGCCGGAAGUGGAAGAGGCGCAAGCCUUGCAGCUGACCGGUACUAAUAGGUCGAGGAUUUAACUAC